rnacentral:sRNA from 1 species
AAAUAUUGGCAGUCUUUAACUGAAUCGUAUAACACCAUGAUGUAUAAAAGGUUUUGUUCGUUAUUUUUCCUGCUAAUUAUCUUUGCUGCAGUUGGAUGUUAUUGUGAAUUCAAGUCUGAUGGCAAUUUAGAAUCGUCUAAGCUAUUACGACACCUAACGAAACGCGCCAUCUUUCAUAAUGUGCCCAAUUGUAAAGUCUUACGAUAUGACGGAAAAUGUGGCUCUAGUGCAGGUUUGUUAAAUCGGCGAGGUAGUGUUGUGGCCAAACCUUACAUACCGAAAUCUGUCUUAUGAAGAUACGCAAGCUAUGGAUGAUGCCCGAUGUUGUUAACUGAUGUAGUUACAUGUAAUAUGUUUAAAUAUAAUUAACUUAAAAUUUAGGAUGGGUAUAUGCUCAUCCAUCAUAGGAUGUGUAUACGCUAAUUUCGUCAUUCGGUUUGUAACACCUCGAAAUAUUUAUCUAAGACCUCGUAAAGUACAUUUAUUCUUGAUCGUCGUGACAUUAUAAUUCGACUUAGCUAUCGAAACAAACAAUUUAUUUAUUUUAUUUAUUAUUUGUUUUGUCCUACAAAACAAGAUAAAUGUCUUAAAAGUUGCAGUAUAGGAUUACAAUUAUUGAAAACAUCUCCAACUUAAUCUAAUAAACUUUAACAAAUUAAA